rnacentral:rRNA from 1 species
AGAGUUUGAUCCUGGCUCAGGACGAACGCUGGCGGCGUGCUUAACACAUGCAAGUCGAACGGUAAGGCCCUUCGGGGUACACGAGUGGCGAACGGGUGAGUAACACGUGGGUAAUCUGCCCUGCACAUCGGGAUAAGCCUGGGAAACUGGGUCUAAUACCGAAUAGGACCACAGGACACAUGUCCUGUGGUGGAAAGCUUUUGCGGUGUGGGAUGGGCCCGCGGCCUAUCAGCUUGUUGGUGGGGUGAUGGCCUACCAAGGCGACGACGGGUAGCCGGCCUGAGAGGGUGUCCGGCCACACUGGGACUGAGAUACGGCCCAGACUCCUACGGGAGGCAGCAGUGGGGAAUAUUGCACAAUGGGCGAAAGCCUGAUGCAGCGACGCCGCGUGGGGGAUGACGGCCUUCGGGUUGUAAACCUCUUUCACCAUCGACGAAGGUCCGGGUUUUCUCGGGCUGACGGUAGGUGGAGAAGAAGCACCGGCCAACUACGUGCCAGCAGCCGCGGUAAUACGUAGGGUGCGAGCGUUGUCCGGAAUUACUGGGCGUAAAGAGCUCGUAGGUGGUUUGUCGCGUUGUUCGUGGAAUCUCACGGCUUAACUGUGAGCGUGCGGGCGAUACGGGCAGACUUGAGUACUGCAGGGGAGACUGGAAUUCCUGGUGUAGCGGUGGAAUGCGCAGAUAUCAGGAGGAACACCGGUGGCGAAGGCGGGUCUCUGGGCAGUAACUGACGCUGAGGAGCGAAAGCGUGGGGAGCGAACAGGAUUAGAUACCCUGGUAGUCC